rnacentral:lncRNA from 1 species
GAUAAUUGAGGAUAGGGAUCCAUGUGUUUUCCAAUUGGGAUCACUGAUUAACUUGAAUUAAAGGUUACGAUUGGACCAAAGAAACACAACAUUGUUAACCAAAUUAAAAAUGCCUAGAAUAUCCCUUCUAGAAGCUUUAAUCAAUUUAAAUCAAUUAAAUUAAAUAAAUUUCACAUUUUUUAUAUAAACAUGAUAAAAUUAAAAUGAGAGCAUGAUUAUACCUAUUUAAUUUUUUUUGAUUUUUUUUUACAAAAG